CCUACGGGUGGCAGCAGUGGGGAAUAUUGGACAAUGGGGGCAACCCUGAUCCAGCCAUGCCGCGUGUGUGAAGAAGGCCCUCGGGUUGUAAAGCACUUUCAGUGAGGAAGAACGCCUGGUGGUUAAUACCCAUCAGGAAAGACAUCACUCACAGAAGAAGCACCGGCUAACUCCGUGCCAGCAGCCGCGGUAAUACGGAGGGUGCGAGCGUUAAUCGGAAUUACUGGGCGUAAAGCGCGCGUAGGUGGCUUGAUAAGCCGGUUGUGAAAGCCCCGGGCUCAACCUGGGAACGGCAUCCGGAACUGUCAAGCUAGAGUGCAGGAGAGGAAGGUAGAAUUCCCGGUGUAGCGGUGAAAUGCGUAGAGAUCGGGAGGAAUACCAGUGGCGAAGGCGGCCUUCUGGACUGACACUGACACUGAGGUGCGAAAGCGUGGGUAGCAAACAGGAUUAGAUACCCUUGUAGUC
rnacentral:rRNA from 1 species